GCAAGUGUUUCAAGUGUGGCCAACCUGGACAUCUUAUCCGGGAGUGCCCGUCGUGGACGUCGUCUGCGCCAACGGCGGCUUCAACACCGUCUACCCCGAGACAGCUUGCGGGGUUGCCACCAGCGAUGUCGGCUGGGCGCGCGUCAGCACCGCGUCAGCCGGAGGGAUCGAGAGCGCCUAGCGGCCGAGUCUUUGCAGCUCAGGUGGAGGAGCAGCAACCUGCAGCACCCGACGACGUCGUGGCAGGUAUAAUUGUGAUUAAAGGCACUAGAGCUAGAGCAGUGUUUGAUACAGGCGCAUCUCAUUCAUUCAUUAGCACAUCAUUUGCUAAAACAC
rnacentral:lncRNA from 1 species